rnacentral:misc_RNA from 1 species
UCUCCGUUGGUGAACCAGCGGAGGGAUCAUUACCGAGUUUACAACUCCCAAACCCAAUGUGAACGUUACCAAACUGUUGCCUCGGCGGGAUCUCUGCCCCGGGUGCGUCGCAGCCCCGGACCAAGGCGCCCGCCGGAGGACCAACCAAAAACUCUUUUGUAUACCCCCUCGCGGGUUUUUUUAUAUCUGAGCCAUCUCGGCGCCUCUCGUAGGCGUUUCGAAAAUGAAUCAAAACUUUCAACAACGGAUCUCUUGGUUCUG